rnacentral:lncRNA from 1 species
GGAGAAAUGUCGGAGUCUUGAAUAAAGAUCUUCAUCACUUUGAUCUCAAAAAGAUAGAUGCAGCUGAGUUGAGCUACUACAGACUAAUCAACUUGUGCACAACUUUAUACAAGAUUUGUGCCGAGCUAAUGGUGGAGAAAAUGAAGUCUAUACUAUCGGUCUGCAAGACCCUCUUGCAAACCAAGGACAGUGAUGAGGGAUUUGUCUGAUAUGUAUAGGAGGGAGCCUACUCAUAAUCUAGAUGGCGCAU